UACGAAGGGGGCUAGCGUUGCUCGGAAUCACUGGGCGUAAAGCGCACGUAGGCGGCUUUCUAAGUCAGGGGUGAAAUCCUGGAGCUCAACUCCAGAACUGCCUUUGAUACUGGAAAGCUUGAGUUCGGGAGAGGUGAGUGGAACUGCGAGUGUAGAGGUGAAAUUCGUAGAUAUUCGGAGGAACACCAGUGGCGAAGGCGGCUCACUGGUCCAUUACUGACGCUGAGGUGCGAAAGCGUGGGGAGCAAACAGG
rnacentral:rRNA from 1 species